UUUAAUUUAAAAUAUUAAAACUAAAAAUAGAAAUAAGUAAGUUAAAUUUAAAUAUUUCCUGAUACUGCACUAUUUUUCUAUAAGCUUAGUGUAAUAAACACUAAACAACGAAUUUGUCAAUAUGACGAGGGUUAUUUCAGUUACGUUGGUGGCAGCAGGUUGCAGGUAUAUAGAAAACCGAUCAAUAAUAAAUUAAUGACCGCAACCUAUGUUUCAGUCGACAUGUACAGUUAAAAAAAGGUAAUAUAGGUACACAGCAUCAACUACGAUAGACACUAACCGAUUAAUCAUACAAUACAUCAGGCUAACGAUGAGAACCCCAUUUAUUUUAUCUGGUCCGUUCUUGAUAAUAUCACUCAACUAUUAUUUGCAGCAGCGUAAUAAUUCUAGUUCUAUAUCUGAAUGAUUCUUCAAAAAGAACCACAGAGCUCAUAAUUAUAUAACUGCGUAAAAUGUGGUAGAAUGCUUUAUUCGUCCCUGUGCUGUAAAACGGUGUUUGUGAGGUUUAACACCAGCUUGCUGCUGCUGGAAACACGGAUUUAGUACGGUCAAAUAAUUGCGCAUAAUUGGACGCUAUAAUAGCAACGCUCUCAUAGCCGUUUGUUACUUAAAUGGAGAUUUAUUCCACGGACGGGUAGACGCAAGGCUUUUGCAAGGGGAGAUGGAUGACGCCGAUUCCACCGUAGCAGCAUAGCCGAAAGAGAAAGAUGCGACGGGGGCGAUUAAUAAAUUAUUUAAGCGCCACCGCCAACGACAUC